rnacentral:rRNA from 1 species
UCGCCCGCCNCGCCCCGCGCCCGUCCCGCCGCCCCCGCCCGCCUACGGGAGGCAGCAGUGGGGAAUNUUGCGCAAUGGGGGNAACCCUGACGCAGCGAUACCGCGUGAGUGANNGAAGGNCUUCGGGUUGUAAAGCUCUUUCAGUAGGGAAGAUAGUGACGGUACCUACAGAAGAAGCUCCGGCUAACUCCGUGCCAGCAGCCGCGGUAAUACGGAGGGNGCGAGCGUUGUUCGGAAUUACUGGGCGUAAAGGGCGCGCAGGCUGUUUGNCAAGUCAGAAGUGAAAUCCCCGGGCUCAACCCGGGAACUGCUUUUGAAACUAGCAGACUAGAGACCGGNAGAGGAUGGCGGAAUUCCCCGUGUAGAGGUGAAAUUCGUAGAUAUGGGGAGGAACACCAGAGGCGAAGGCGGCNAUCUGGACCGGUACUGACGCUGAGGCNCGAAAGCGUGGGGAGCAAACAGGAUUAGAUACCCUGGUAGUCCACGCUGUAAACGAUGAGUGCUNGUAGUCGCNGGGUAUCGACCNCNGC